CACUGGUCCUUGAUGUGUAGGAUAGGUGGGAGGCUUUGAAGUGUGGACGCCAGUCUGCAUGGAGCCGUCCUUGAAAUACCACCCUUUAAUGGCUGGUGUUCUAACGUAGACCCGUGAUCCGGGUUGCGGACAGUGUCUGGUGGGUAGUUUGACUGGGGCGGUCUCCUCCCAAAGAGUAACGGAGGAGCACGAAGGUUAGCUAAUCCUGGUCGGACAUCAGGAGGUUAGUGC
rnacentral:rRNA from 1 species